AUUGAACGCUGGCGGCAGGCUUAACACAUGCAAGUCGAGCGGGGGAAGGUAGCUUGCUACCGGACCUAGCGGCGGACGGGUGAGUAAUGCUUAGGAAUCUGCCUAUUAGUGGGGGACAACAUCUCGAAAGGGAUGCUAAUACCGCAUACGUCCUACGGGAGAAAGCAGGGGAUCUUCGGACCUUGCGCUAAUAGAUGAGCCUAAGUCGGAUUAGCUAGUUGGUGGGGUAAAGGCCUACCAAGGCGACGAUCUGUAGCUGGUCUGAGAGGAUGAUCAGCAACAAUGGGACUGAGACACGGCCCAGAAUACUACGGGAGGCAGCAGUGGGGAAUACUGGACAAUGGGGGGAAACCUGAGCCAGCCAUGCCGCGUGUGUGAAGAAGGCCUUAUGGUUGUAAAGCACUUUAAGCGAGGAGGAGGCUACUUUAGUUAAUACCUAGAGAUAGUGGACGUUACUCGCAGAAUAAGCACCGGCUAACUCUGUGCCAGCCGCCGCAGUAA
rnacentral:rRNA from 1 species